AGAGAAGAGAGAAAGGGCGGAGAGGUGAGAUCAGGAGAAGAAGAGGAAAGGAGAGGUGAGAGACUGAGAGUCAGAUGAGGAAGUGAGGGAUUAGAGUUUUUUUUUUCCUUUAUAUACUUAGGGUAAAAGUGUUGCGCUAGGGGGCUUUUGGGCCUGAAAUUUCGGUUCUGUUCGGUUUUGUUCGGUUUUUCGGUUUUUCAAUUUCUAAAACCGAAACCAAACCGAAAACCGAAAUAUUUUUUUUUCAAAACCAAGUCGAACCACUUUCGCAAAAAAAAACCGACCAUAUUUCUUAUUCGGUUCGGUUUUCGGUUUGGUUCGGUUUUAACCCAAAUUUGUUUCACCCCUAUCCUUAAUUAAUGCACGGGCACAUUUUAGUAUAUUAUUAAUGUUUAAGGCAUUUGCUCGCCCACCCACUGUUUUCUUGUUUAUUUUGGGUAGUUACUCAAUUAAGGAGUAUUAUUUUAUAUUUUGACAGGUUUUACUUUAGCAAACCUAGCCCUACUCCUUAAUUACUGUAUUAUUAUACCUCCUUGGCCGCCUCCCCUUUCUCUGUUUUCUACCAGUUUUGCUCUGUCAUUUAAACUCCAUUUUGAUUUGAUUUAGCACAAAAAAAAUCCCUUUUAAAUUUCAAGAUAGAUCUAAAAUUUGUAUUGAUCAUCUAUUCUCCUACGAGUAGUAUCAAUUUCAAGGUUCCUGUCAGCGCAACAUUCAUUUGGGCUUAUGAUCAGCCGGACCCGAGGCCAUAUGGGCCUUAUUACCUGGAAGGGGAAAGAGUAGAUGGAUGGCAUUUAGAAGUUGCUGAGUUUUCCUUCAACUGGUACAAAAAAAACUGUCCAGGGGGUUCAAGAAAGCAAUGGAUACAGGAGAAGACUAAAAUGAAUAUUGACUAUUCGUUCUGCUCAAAUUUAAUUCAUCUUCUCCAACAAUAGAAUACGUGACGAGACUCAGCGAAGAAAAGAGACUGAUAGUGAAUGCGGCAGCUAUAGAUGAAAACAUGUUACGGAGUAUAUUAUGUUAAAUACUUCGUACUUCUGAAGUACCCAAAUUGGUUUAUGUAGUUUUUUAGCCAAUAAGACCACUCUCAAUGGUGAGCAAAAAAAAUGCUCACCCACUCUCUCUCUACCCACUUUCUCUCUCAACAAAUUAA